rnacentral:lncRNA from 7 species
UGCUUGGGCUAUUGGACUUCGAUAAGAGCUAGUUCCCCUUCUAAUUUGAGCUCCCAUUCUGGUCACCCAAGACACUCACACUGGUACAUCUAGGAACACCUGUACCAUUCCUGACCAGCUGGAAGGUAAAUAGGAUGAAUCAGAACAUCUAAGAUAUCAGCAGCCGCAUAUGUUCAGAAAGCAAAAACAAGUCUGAAAGCAUCACCUGCGUUACCUGGGUAGCUGCAAGACAUGGUUUCAGGUUUGUUGCAGCAAUGCCAACUCUGCUAAAACUGGCCCUGUCUCCUCUUCCAACGGCUUCCUUCUUGGUUACGCUGACAGCAUUUACGAGACCUGGAGAGUUGAACAAGGAAAGUGAUUCUUCUGUGGGCAAAAAUGUUUAUCUCUCUGGUUGCCCGCUCUGCCCACAGACAGCUCUGGCAGGGAGUAAGCAGCCCAAAGAAAGUCAAAAAGGAAGAAGUACUGAAGUUAGCACUGUGGUCAAGUAUCUGUGCCACAGCCUUACUGCCAUGUGAAAACAUGUAUCCCAGCAGAGGCAAAAUCAAUCAAACAUGUUGAUGUCAACUCCUGGUAUAUGAAAACUUAAAAACUUUAUUUAACAUGGUCCCAAACAAAUGCUCUGCAUAUCACAUAGGAGGUUUUAUUAAAAUCCACUUGUUUGCGGUGAUGGUGCAAAUAAAAUGAUCAUCCUUUUACACACUGUGU